rnacentral:misc_RNA from 1 species
GAUGAAGAACUUAGCGAAAUGCGAUAAGUAAUGUGAAUUGCAGAAUUCAGUGAAUCAUCGAGUCUUUGAACGCACAUUGCGCCCCCUGGUAUUCCGGGGGGCAUGCCUGUCCGAGCGUCAUUGCUGCCCUCAAGCACGGCUUGUGUGUUGGGCCCCCGCCCCCCGGCUUCGGGGGGCGGGCCCGAAAGGCAGCGGCGGCACCGCGUCCGGUCCUCGAGCGUAUGGGGCUUCGUCACCCGCUCUGUAGGCCCGGCCGGCGCCCGCCGGCGACCCCAAUCAAUCUUUCCAGGUUGACCUCGGAUCAGGUAGGGAUACCCGCUGAACUUAAGCAUAUCAAUAAGCGGAGGA